AGGGAGGUAGCUCAGUGGUAUAGCCUCUGCUUUGCAUGCAGGAGGUCACAGGUUCAAUCCCCGGCGUCUCCA